rnacentral:rRNA from 1 species
GAGGAAUAUUGGUCAAUGGGCGCAAGCCUGAACCAGCCAAGUAGCGUGCAGGAAGACGGCCCUAUGGGUUGUAAACUGCUUUUAUACGAGAAUAAUUUGAUGCACGUGUGCGUUAUUGCAUGUAUCGUAUGAAUAAGGACCGGCUAAUUCCGUGCCAGCAGCCGCGGUAAUACGGAAGGUCCAGGCGUUAUCCGGAUUUAUUGGGUUUAAGGGGAGUGUAGGCGGUUUGUUAAGCGUGUUGUGAAAUUUAGGUGCUCAACAUUUAACUUGCAGUGCGAACUGUCAGACUUGAGUACACGCAACGUAUGCGGAAUUCAUGGUGUAGCGGUGAAAUGCUUAGAUAUCAUGAAGAACUCCGAUUGCGAAGGCAGCAUACGGGAGUGUAACUGACGCUUAAGCUCGAAGGUGCGGGUAUCGAACAGGAUUAGAUACCCUGGUAGUCCGCACAGUAAACGAUGGAUGCCCGCUGUUAGCGCCUGGCGUUAGCGGCUAAGCGAAAGCAUUAAGCAUCCCACCUGGGGAGUACGCCGGCAACGGUG